rnacentral:rRNA from 1 species
GAUGAACGCUGGCGGCGUGCUUAACACAUGCAAGUCGAGCGAGUGAGUUCUUCGGAACGAUCUAGCGGCGGACGGGUGAGUAACACGUGGGCAACCUGCCUCAUAGAGGGGAAUAGCCUCCCGAAAGGGAGAUUAAUACCGCAUAAAAUUAUCGAGUGGCAUCACAUGAUAAUCAAAGGAGUAAUUCGCUAUGAGAUGGGCCCGCGGCGCAUUAGCUAGUUGGUGAGGUAACGGCUCACCAAGGCGACGAUGCGUAGCCGACCUGAGAGGGUGAUCGGCCACAUUGGGACUGAGACACGGCCCAGACUCCUACGGGAGGCGGCAGUGGGGAAUAUUGCACAAUGGGGGAAACCCUGAUGCAGCAACGCCGCGUGAGUGAUGAAGGUCUUCGGAUUGUAAAGCUCUGUCUUUGGGGACGAUAAUGACGGUACCCAAGGAGGAAGCCACGGCUAACUACGUGCCAGCCGCCGCCGUAA